rnacentral:misc_RNA from 1 species
UUCUGUUGUUUGGCUUACAUGUGUUAUGAAAUUGCUGCCACUUGUUAAAUUUAGUCUUUACUCUUUACAUAGAAGGGGAAGUUUCUAAUUGGAUUACCUAGCAACAUUUGCCCUGUAGUUUUCAUGGUGAAUGGUUUGACCAUAAGAAAAGAAAUUUUUGAUAACCUAGUAAAUAAUGGAGUUCUAGAAUUGUAAGCAUCAGUUAUCGA